AUUGAACGCUGGCGGCAGGCCUAACACAUGCAAGUCGAGCGAGCGGCGGACGGUUGAGUAAUGUCUGGGAAACUGCCUGAUGGAGGGGGAUAACUACUGGAAACGGUAGCUAAUACCGCAUACCAUCAGAUGUGCCCAGAUGGGAUUAGCUAGUAGGUGGGGUAACGGCUCACCUUGGCGACGAUCCCUACCUGGUCUGAGGGGAUGACCCGCGACACUGGAACUGAUCAACGGUCCAGCCUCCUACGGGAGGCAGCAGUGGGGAAUAUUGCACAAUGGGCGCAAGCCUGAUGCAGACAUGCCGCGUGUGUGAAGAAGGCCUUCGGGUUGUAAAGCACUUUCAGCGGGGAGGCGGUACCCGAAGAAGAAGCACCGGCUAACUACGUGCCAGCCGCCGCGGUAAUUA
rnacentral:rRNA from 1 species